UGUCGCCAUCAUCGCCGCACCUACGAAAAGGCAGGAAGGAUACGUCACGCAGUGAAGGCAACAGCGGAGAGAUCAGUCGGAAGACUUUCUCUCUCGUAGACGGCUGUUUGCUGGACUUCCGUAGCACGAUCACGGCCGCCACGCCCCCAACCUGCUCUAAGUGCGGCAGUUAGUGCAGCAGAAGGCGAAGCUCCCUGUUUAGAAGGCAGCGGACAAGUGUGCAAGCGCGUGUCUGCACGCAGAGCUGAGCCCCUCUUCUUUGUUGCUUGUGUGCGUGUUGAGGCCUUUCUCUCGGAGAAGCACAGAACCGCAGUGGCGGAUACAGGGGCGCACCACCUCUACAUUAGCGAGUCAGGGCAAUGACGGAUACGCCAUCUACUCUCAGUGCGCGGCCGUCAACGAGACCCAGCGGCGCGAAGCGCCCGCGCGAGUCGCUAAUCGAGUUCCGUGUGAAGGAUAUCAUGGAGUCGCUUGGCGUGAGCGAGGAUUACUUGGUAUUGGGCAUCGGCGAGGCAGGCCGAGGUUCCGUCAUCGGCCCCAUUUUCUACACCGGCGCUGUCAUUUCGCUGGGUGAGCACGACGACCUUGUGCGGUUGUGUCACGUGGCAGACAGUAAAACGCUCGAUGAGCGACGCCGACUCGCCUCCCUGCAGCAGCUGCACCUGCUCAAGACGUUCCGCUCUUUUACUGUGUGCGUCUCUCCCGAGGAAAUCUCGAAGACCAUAACAGGCCGCAGCGGCCGCAACUUGAAUACGCUGAGCCACGAGACAGCCAUUCAAAUUAUCUCCGAGGCAACGCUGGCCUCCGCUGGCAAGCUCUGCGCCGCGUACGUAGGCACUGCUGGUCCACCUGCGACGUACCAGGAACGCCUGGCUGGCCGUUUUCCUCACCUGCGUGUAACCGUUGCAAAGAAGGCCGACUCGCAGUUCCCAAUUGUGUCUGCGGCGUCUAUCGUUGCCAAGACGACGCGAGACACCGCCAUCGAGGCGCUCGGAGAGAACAUAGGCAGCAGGUGCCCUAGUGAUCCUCGCACGAUGGAGCGGCUGCGGUCGCACGUGCAUCGCUUUUUCGUUUUCCCACACGCCUACGACUUUGUGCGGCACUCUCGGGAGCCUGUCGUACAGCUUGCCAACGGCCCGGCGGUGUGCGUGCCCGUGGCGUUCGAACAGGUUCUAGAGAAGGCGAGACAGCAAGGGCGCGGCGGCGACAGCCGGCAGCAGAAGCUCAGCUUCGCGAAGCCCCCACGGAAGCGGCACAAGGUGUACACUCACUUGCUGAAACUCAGAUACCCAACCAGCUUGGUGGAGUAGGCAGCUGAGUCGGGUGGGGCAGUGGGCGGCACCCAGAGUUGCCGCCGCUCCGCCCUACUUGCUUUCGAUGUGUGCUCUACAGGGCCACACCACGCACAGGCCUGCACGGGUGCACAAGGGACACCAUCUUCAGUAGAGACAGAUGCGCAAGACCUAGCCGCACACGCACCAUAGACGUGCUUUGAUAUUCUAUACACUAUCGUCGUGCGUUGCUUGGGCCAGCUUCUACCCAGUGACAUGCAUCGACGCGCGCGCAUCGCGCACCCUGCCCCCGCAGCGGCGCGUGCGCGCGUGUGGGAGGAUGAGCAAAGUGGUUCUGACCCUCUCGCGCAUAGGUGGCUUGUUUGUCGUCUUCUCCGACGUGCUUGCGUGAGCCCAGGAGGGCAAAUGGACCGCGCGGAGGAGAGAACUGUUGCGUGGCGCAACGACAGCCACACGUGGGAGACUCCAUUUGUGGCUCCUUCUUCCAUUGCCUUGGCGACGGUGUACGCUCUCUUUUUCUUUUCCUACUUGUUGCGGAGGCGGAUCUGUGCCGACUGCUGGAUGGAUGAACGUGCGCUCUGAAAGACACGCACACAUGUACGCACAUGCCAGUACUGUCCCACGACGCACAACGAACCUCUUGGCCUCUCUUCCCGCAUUUCUUCAGCCGCUCACAGAUAUUGUGUCCCGAUGAUCAAGUACCAUAGCUCUUCGUAUAUUCUUUUGUUUGCUGGCCUCCCUCACUUGCUAGUUGCCUGAGCUUCUGCAUUACGUACCUCAUGGGGAGGAACAAAAGGGUUACGCGCCCGUGCCCUCGCAUCGCUGCCGCCUCGUGACGGUGACGUGGGCUCUGGUGGUCCCGUUCUCUUCAUUUCCUUCGCUGCGCAAUGCCGACACGAUGCAGGGCACGAGGGCAGUGUAGGAUUCGCCUGGCGCAUA
rnacentral:misc_RNA from 1 species